UAUAUUAUAGUUUAAGUAAAAUAUUAAAUUGCAAAUUUAAAGUUAUAAAAAUUAUAUUAUUAUUAAUAUAU
rnacentral:tRNA from 1 species